UACAUGGGGUGCAAACGUUGCUCGGAAUUAUUGGGCGUAAAGCGCAACGUAGGCGGUUUGUUAAGUCGGAUGUGAAAUCCCUCGGCUCAACUGAGGAAGUGCAUCCGAAACUGGCAGGCUUGAGUACUAAAGAGGGUCGCGGAAUUCCCGGUGUAGAGGUGAAAUUCCGUAGAUAUCGGGAGGAACACCGGUGGCGAAGGCGGCGACCUGGGUGAGAUACUGACGCUGAGGUGCGAAAGCGUGGGGAGCAAACAGGG
rnacentral:rRNA from 1 species